rnacentral:rRNA from 1 species
GACGAACGCUGGCGGCGUGCCUAAUACAUGCAAGUAGAACGCUGAAGAGAGGAGCUUGCUCUUCUUGGAAGAGUUGCGAACGGGUGAGUAACGCGUAGGUAACCUGCCUUGUAGCGGGGGAUAACUAUUGGAAACGAUAGCUAAUACCGCAUAACAAUGGAUGACCCAUGUCAUUGAUUUGAAAGGGCAACUGCUCCACUACAAGAUGGACCGGCGUUGUAUUAGCUAGUAGGUGAGGUAACGGCUAACCUAGGCGACGAUACAUAGCCGACCUGAGAGGGUGAUCGGCCACACUGGGACGUAGACACGGCCCAGACUCCCACGGGAGGCAGCAGUAGGGAAUCUUCGGCAAUGGGGUCAACCCUGACCGAGCAACGCCGCGUGAGUGAAGAAGGUUUUCGGAUCGUAAAGCUCUGUUGUAAGUCAAGAACGAGUGUGAGAGUGGAAAGUUCACACUGUGACGGUAGCUUACCAGAAAGGGACGGCUAACUACGUGCCAGCCGCCGCCGUAA